UACUACUUUUGUUACUGCUACUUCUCCUACAACGUUUUCUUCUUCUUCUACCUUCAUCAUCUUCAUCUUUUUCUUUUACUUUUCUUUAUUUUUCUUCUAUCUUCUUUCCUUCUUCCUUUCCCUCUUCCCACUCAUUCCCAUUUCCUUCUCCUUCUCCUCCUUUGUCUCCCUCUCUACAUCUUCUCCGUCUCUUUCCUUUGUCUCUCUUUUAUUCCCCUUCCUUAUGUAAGGUUAUGAGGAAUCGUCAGCUUCCAGAACAGAGAUUAUUCACUAGUCAUUAUAUCUUUUGUGAUUGACAUUCCCAAAAUGAAGUAUUUUCACUCUUUUUAGCAAUUUCUCAGUCUUUGGAAUGUUUUUUUUUUUUUUUUUUUUUUUUUUUUUUUUUUUGUCGUUUAUUCAUUUUUAUGCCAUUUUGUUUACAUUGUGCCAGGAGGUGUAAGGUGGCAUGUGCCAUUUUCGCGUGAAGUUUGUUAAAAUGGGUAUCGGUGAAAUUAAGCGAGUUUUUUGAUGGCUUACUAGUCUAGUGAUUGUGCUUUAUUGUAAGUUGUAGUCUUUGAUGUCAAGUUUAUUUUGUUCUUGGUGUCAAAAUAGAUUUUAUUUCUCUCUCUCUCUCUCUCUCUCUCUCUCUCUCUCUCUCUCUCUCUCUCUCUCUCUCUCUCUCUCUCUCUCCUCUCUCUCUCUCUCUCUCUCUCUCUGUUUUUCUUCAAUAUGUAUUUUUGGUUUUGUUCUUGGAUGUCAAGUUUUUUUCUUGAUGUCAAGAUAAGUUUUGAGAUUUUUUCUUGCAUUGAAGUUGCAUUUAGAGUUUUAUUCUUUAGUAUGUCAUGUUGAUUUCAAUUAUUGGUCUUUUUGAAUUUGUUCUCUGAUGUCCGGGUAGAUUUCAGAUUUCGUUCUCUGGUGUCAAGUCAGAUUUCAGACUUUGUUCUUUGAUGUCAAGUCAGAUUUCAGACUUUGUUCUUUGAUGUCAGGUUAGAAUUCAGACUGUUCUUUGAUGUCAGGUUAGAAUUCAGACUUUGUUAGAAUUCAAAUUUUGUUCUUUGAUAUAGAUUUUCUCUAAUUUCAAAUUAAGUUCCAGAUUUUGUUUAUGGGAAAGAAUGUCAGGUUAUAUAUAAGGAACAAAGACCAAAGUUUUAGAACUGAAUCGAGGUUCUAAAAAGUGAUAAGUAGAGGUUUAAUCCUGUGUGCAGUGUCCAUUCUGUGCAUGUUGAGGUAUCUGUGUUGAAUGCAAUUGCAAAAAAUUAUGCCUUCUGAUCACUUCCCAUUCUGAAAAAGGCGUUGGAACUGAACGUUUACUUAUGCGCACUUAAUGGAUAUGUAUGUGCACGUGUGGAUCUGUAUGUAUACUUAAUGUGCACAUGUGGAUUUAUAUGUAUACUUAUGUACACACAUGGAUCAGUGUGUAUACUUAUGCACACUUGUGGAUCUAUAUGUAUAUUUAGGUACACACAUGGAUCUACAUACACACUUCCCUGUUCUUUCUUUUUCUUUUCUUUUCUUUUCUCUUUCCUUCUCCCUCUUUCUCAUCUAGCUUUUUUUUCCUCCUGCCUCUUUCUCCCUCUCCAUUUUCCUCACCUCCCUCUCCUAUGUUUUUCUUUCUCUUUUUUUCCUUUUCUUACUUCAUCCAGUGUGUGCCUUGUUCUUUUGCUUCAGAAUGUGAACAAUAGUGAACAAGAUGAAAGUGAUUCAUACCAUUUAGAAACGACUACAAUUUUUAUUCAUAUUCUUGUCUGAUUUGCCUUUUUUCCUUGCAGUCAAGUGAUAUAAAACUAGAUUUAUAUAUAGAGAGAGACAUUGUUACAAACAAAUAAACCCACUGAUGCUAGGGAUAGAAUACAUGACCCUGCCCACACUGAAUUUCGUUUUUUAAUUAAAAGUACACAUAGAUGAUUCCAUUAGUAGUCACCUGUUUACUCUUUUCUUUGAUUUUUGGAAAUAUUUUACUUGACUCAAUAACCACGGGUUUACGUAAUGUUCCCUGUAUUUUUUUUGUGAAUUUUGUUGUAUACAGAUGGCUCCACAAGUGCUCAGCCAGCAAGGGGUCUAGCAGUAUGUCCUACUGACUGGUCCUGAUUUCCCCAUUCCUUGAAUUGGUGGGAAAAUGUGAUCUUCUUUCAGAUACUACUGCUAUUGAUACUGUUAUUAUUAUUAUUGAUAUUAUGAUGAUUAAGUUGUUAUUAAAAUCUUUGUAAUAUUAAAAACAAUGAAAUAACACAAAAGGUACUUUCCAAAAAAUCAAUGAAAAGGGUAAAGAAGUGAGAUAGGUAGAACUAGUAACUGACUCCCUGGUGACUAAGCACUUUUAGAGCCAUCUAUGUGUACAGACAGUAAAUGAACUUAUAUUACAGUAGGCAUGGCAUGUUAUCUUGCCGUCUGUGCUGAUUGGGUUAAUUUCAUAUUGCUAUUAGUUUUGUUAAUAGUACUGUUAUAAUUAUAAUGUCAGUAAGAGUAAUAGCAUCAUCAAUAUUAAUGGCGUUAGAAAGAAAUAUUUUAAAAUACCACAGAAAUGAAGGGAAGGGGGAAAGCAGGCGAGGUCGUGUAGACUACUAUUUGACUCCUUGGUGGAAGAGCAUUUGCAGAGCCAUCUGUGUGUAGGUACAUCUCACAAAAUAACACUAUAGUCACCAUCACAUUUACACAUUAUAGUGGGUUAAUUAGUUUCUUUGGUUUAUUGAGAGUGAUUUUAUGAACUGAGUAUUUGCAUAUACC